CUCUUUUGGAGGUUGCCUCUACUGGAGUUUUGCAAGUGAGCCUAGGAUAUGACCCACAGUGACUGAAGUUGUAUUGCAUGAAAUGCUCUUAGCUGGUUAGAGACUCUCAGCACUGAGAAUGGUGUUCGGAAGCAGAAAGAAUAUGUGUAUGAGGAAAUGAAGGGCAUGCUGGAUCAUUGCCAGGAGAUCUCCCUUGGGAGAACAGGUAAGUAAUUUUUCAAGCCUGAUACAAAAGGGAUUGUUCCUGUAAGGAGGAAGAUCUACUGGAGAUCUGCUGUUUCACCUCUGCUAUUCCCUGGAGAAAAAAUACCUUGACUGCUUUCUCCUAUGGUAUUAGAGAGGGUGCCUCGGGACAUGGUCUUGUCCUGGUCUUCUGAACAGCUUCCUCACUCAACCUCUUCUGGUUCCUGGUGUAGAAACCAGCCACUCAUAUCCAGAUGCUGCUAAGUUUAAGGAGCUGUGAAAUUGGUUCAUGAGAACCUUGACCGUGGAAGAGAUCUCCAUUAAUACUGGAAAAGGCCUUCUCACACAAAACUGCGUUUAUGGGACUUACAGCUGACAGAAGAUGACAGCCCACUGCCAGAGAGAAGAAAAGGGCAGGAUGAAGAAACAGGAAAAAGAAGGAAGGCCCUCUGCCACAGUUCAUUGCAAAGAGAUGCAAUAUCUUCCUUUGGAUGUUCUCUCCAGUGCAGCAGCUCGUGAUGACAGCGGUGUUUUAACCAGCUUACUCAUCACCCUGUUUUCUCCUCCCAUGGACUGGCGCAGCCUGGGUGGCCAUUUCACAUAGGAGCUGACAUUCCCUCUCAUAGAUGUCAUGGCACAUGGACCAAGCAAGUGGCACU